CAGUCGCCGCGGUAAUACGAAGGGGGCUAGCGUUGCUCGGAAUUACUGGGCGUAAAGGGAGCGUAGGCGGAUCGUUAAGUUGGGGGUGAAAGCCCGGGGCUCAACCUCGGAAUUGCCUUCAAUACUGGCGAUCUUGAGUAUGGAAGAGGUAUGUGGAACUCCGAGUGUAGAGGUGAAAUUCGUAGAUAUUCGGAAGAACAUCAGUGGCGAAGGCGACAUACUGGUCCAUUACUGACGCUGAGGCUCGAAAGCGUGGGGAGCAAACAGGAUUAGAGACCCCAGUAGUCCCUGUCUCUUAUAC
rnacentral:rRNA from 1 species